GUUUCUAACGCAUUUUUGGGUGGAUUUCAACAUCGGAACAUCAACUAUAAGUUUCUUUGUAAAUGACCCGCAGAACACCCUGUGGGAGCUGAUUCACCUGUCCAAAGAUGCCAUCAGCACAUAUAAUCUACAAGACCGGGAUGAAGAGAAGAUAUUGACUGUUAACAUGAUGAACCCAAUAAGUAACGGAAAGAUCACUGGCCAAACGGUCGAAAUCAUCUUUAGCUCUGAGCACAACAUUCAGACUGCCUUGACAAGAGUGUUUGAAGAGAAGCUACAGCCAGCCCCUGGGGCUGCGAAAUCAGAAGAGGACUUGGGCAUGCUUGAAGGCACACA